ensembl:lncRNA
CUUGAAUGUAUUGUGAUGAUAUAUAUGUGCAUUGACUUUUAAUAUUUUCCAGGGACCUCAUACAGGCCAGUCAGGGUCGUCGGGCCGGAUGUGGCCCGCGGGCCGUAGGAUGCCCAGCCUUAGAUCCUCGGGUGGGUCCCUCCUGGUCAUUCCAAAGUCUAGGCUUAAAUCCAAGGACGACCAGGCCUUCUCCAUCAGGACCCCUUGGCUUUGGAACGACCUGCGUGAGGAGAUAAGCCUGGCAGAAUCAGAUUGUGUGAGGAAGCCAGGGAACCCGGAGAAAACCCACACAUGCACAGGGAGAACAUGCAAACUCCAUGCAGAAAGAUCCCAGGAAGGCCGGGACAUAAACCGGGGAUCUUCUACCACCAUGCCACUGUGUAUUCAUGUUAAAAUGUCUAACAUUACAGCAGAAAUAAAC